CGAGGCCCAGGCGGCGGCGCGGCAGGUCGGGGACCCAGGGAUGGGCAGAGGGAAGCGAGGGGCGCUGGGCAGGACGCGAGGAAGAGGAAGAACUGAGGACUGGCUAGGGUGAGGCAGGGCUGCUCAGACUGGAAGGGCCCCUGAGAGGGGGGCCUUGGACAUGACGCCGGACAAAGCCUCAGAUGCUGGGACUGGAGAGCCUGGUGGGGGACUGGGAGCGCAGGGACCUGGGGAGAGGAGGCGGCAGAGGCAGGAGGGGACAAUGGCAAGGCCUGGGUGAAGCAGGACCCGGAAGGAGACUGGGACAGACUGGGAGAAUGGACCAUCCACCCACGAAGGCAGAGUGGAGCAGGGAGCAGAAGUGACUAGAAGGGGACUCGGACUAUUCAGAGGUGACAUUUGGACAAAAGGAUGGGCAAGUAUGGAGAGAACUCAGGGUAGUGGAAGCUGCUGUAUCAGGAAGCAACUGGCUGUUUGGGACAGGGAGGUUGGGGCAUCUAACCGGUCCUCAGCCCAGCUCCUGCCUCCCCGGCAGGAAUCUUUUUGUACAGCUUCCGCACAGAAGGCCCUGGGGACAGAAGGCCUCUUUCUCUUCUCCUCGCUGGAUACUGACCACGAUAUGCGUCUCAGCCCCGAGGAGUUCAAACCCAUCGCAGAGAAGCUGACAGGGUCAACACCUGUGGCCACCUAUGAGGAGGAGGAGCUGCCCUCCGACCCCAGUGAAGAGACCCUCACCAUAGAAGCCCGAUUCCAGCCUCUGCUCCCUGAGACCAUGACAAAGAGCAAAGAUGGCUUCCUAGGGGUCAUCAUCCACCGGCUGCUAAGCAUGUUUCACCCUCGGCCCUUUGUGAAGACCCGCUUUGCCCCUCAAGGGGCUGUGGCCUGCCUGACUGCUGUCAGUGACUCCUACUACACUGUGAUGUUCCGGAUCCAUGCUGAGUUCCAGCUCAGUGAGCCCCCUGACUUCCCCUUCUGGUUCUCCCCGGGCCAGUUCACCGGCCACAUCAUCCUGUCAAAGGAUGCCACCCACAUCCGUGACUUCCGGCUCUUCGUGCCCAAUCACAGGUCUCUGAAUGUGGACAUGGAGUGGCUGUACGGGGCCAGUGAGAGCAGCAGCAUGGAGGUUGACAUCGGCUAUAUACCCCAGAUGGAGCUGGAGGCCACAGGCCCUUCCGUGCCCUCCGUGAUCCUGGACGAAGAUGGUAAUCUGAUUGACAGUCGCCUGCCCUCGGGGGAGCCCCUCCAGUUUGUGUUUGAGGAGAUCAGGUGGCAGCAGGAGCUGAGCUGGGAGGAGGCUGCCCGGCGCCUGGAGGUGGCCAUGUACCCCUUCAAGAAGGUUCGGGGCGGACUCUCCGGGAGACUGUCCUGGAAAGUUCGCCCAUCCUCACCCUUCUCAAUGAGAGCUUCAUCAGUACCUGGUCCCUGGUGAAGGAGCUGGAGGACCUGCAGAGCAAUGCAGAGAACCUGUCACAUCGGCAACUGGCGGGCCUGCACCUGGAGAAGUACAGCUUCCCCGUGGAGAUGAUGAUCUGUCUGCCCAAUGGCACUGUG
rnacentral:lncRNA from 1 species